UGAUGAUGAUGAGGAGGAGGAAGAAGAUGAUGAGGAAGAUGAAGAGGAAGAAACCCAGCAACCUUCUAAAAGGAAGAAAUGAGAAAAACAUUGUUUUCACUUUUUUUCUUUAGAUUGGAGGAAUCUUAUUUUAUUAAAUGUUGACAAAGUAAAAAAUUCAAACCAUUAGUUUUCACAGAGCUCAAAACUAUUUCUUUUGAAUACUAAACCCUCUUCCUUGCUUGGUGUUUUGAUUGGUCUUCCCCAAA
rnacentral:misc_RNA from 1 species